AUUAUACUCCCUCCGUCCCAAAAUUCUUGUCUUAGAUUUGUCUAAAUAUGAAUGUAUCUAGUCACGUUUUAGUAUUUAGAUACAUUAAUUUAUAGACAAACCUAAGACAAGAAUUUUGAGAUGGAGGGAGUAGAUA
rnacentral:pre_miRNA from 1 species